rnacentral:rRNA from 1 species
UACGAAGGUCCCAAGCGUUAUCCGGAUUUAUUGGGUUUAAAGGGUGCGUAGGCGGGCUAUUAAGUCAGUGGUGAAAGCCCCAAGCUUAACUUGGGAACUGCCAUUGAUACUGAUGGUCUUGAGUACAUUUGAGGUGGGCGGAAUGUGUCAUGUAGCGGUGAAAUGCUUAGAUAUGACACAGAACACCGAUUGCGAAGGCAGCUCACUAAACUGAAACUGACGCUGAGGCACGAAAGCGUGGGGAGCAAACAGG